rnacentral:rRNA from 1 species
UGGGGAAUAUUGGACAAUGGGGGGAACCCUGAUCCAGCCAUGCCGCGUGUGUGAAGAAGGCCUUAUGGUUGUAAAGCACUUUAAGCGAGGAGGAGGGUACUGGUAUUAAUACUACCAGGUACUGGACGUUACUCGCAGAAUAAGCACCGGCUAACUCUGUGCCAGCAGCCGCGGUAAUACAGAGGGUGCGAGCGUUAAUCGGAUUUACUGGGCGUAAAGCGUGCGUAGGCGGCUAAUUGAGUCGGAUGUGAAAUCCCCGAGCUUAACUUGGGAAUUGCAUUCGAUACUGGUUAGCUAGAGUGUGGGAGAGGAUGGUAGAAUUCCAGGUGUAGCGGUGAAAUGCGUAGAGAUCUGGAGGGAUACCGAUGGCGAAGGCAGCCAUCUGGCCUAACACUGACGCUGAGGUACGAAAGCAUGGGGAGCAAACAGG